rnacentral:rRNA from 1 species
GAUGAACGCUGGCGGCGUGCCUAAUACAUGCAAGUCGAGCGAACAGACGAGGAGCUUGCUCCUCUGAUGUUAGCGGCGGACGGGUGAGUAACACGUGGAUAACCUACCUAUAAGACUGGGAUAACUUCGGGAAACCGGAGCUAAUACCGGAUAACAUGUUGAACCGCAUGGUUCAACAGUGAAAGACGGUCUUGCUGUCACUUAUAGAUGGAUCCGCGCCGCAUUAGCUAGUUGGUAAGGUAACGGCUUACCAAGGCAACGAUGCGUAGCCGCCCUGAGAGGGUGAUCGGCCACACUGGAACUGAGACACGGUCCAGACUCCUACGGGAGGCAGCAGUAGGGAAUCUUCCGCAAUGGGCGAAAGCCUGACGGAGCAACGCCGCGUGAGUGAAGAAGGUCUUCGGAUCGUAAAACUCUGUUAUUAGGGAAGAACAAAUGUGUAAGUAACUAUGCACGUCUUGACGGUACCUAAUCAGAAAGCCACGGCUAACUACGUG